GAUUCGCACUUUGGCGACGCUGUGUGGCGGUGUUUGGUGACUCACUAUGUGACAAGCGUGCACCACAUCCCCGUGGCCGGGCAGCACGUCGCCCCACAUGACGAACCAGCAGCAGACGGAGGGAUGCGAGCUGAUCCCUGCCGGGCCGCCGUCCUCGCGCGGGAGAAUCUCAUCGCCACAGUGUGAAUGGGUAAGAAGUGAAUACACAGUUCAAUGAGCCGAAUUAAUUUAUUUUCUCCACCAGACGCUCGAGGAAAUUUACGAGCCGGUCCAGCCGCUCGUUGAUCCCCGCGAUCCCCCUGAUGAUUUCUUCCUGCGAUUGCAGGACCCCCUCCGCGAGGACCCUUCCACUGCGUCCGGGUGGUCCAGCGGAAGCGCCGCGGCUGGUGGACGCUCCACCGCUUGUCGGUGCGCUGAUGCUGAUGCUGAUGCUGGUGCUGGGGCCGGGGGCCGGGGUGGCCCGAAUGCCGCUGGUCCUGGCCGACGACUCCGAGCCGGCGGACGGGCUGCCGCGGGCCGGGGUUCCGCAAGCCGGCGACACGGCCGACACAUUGAUUUCUGUGACACAAUAAAAAUAUUAGUUCAUUUCAAUUCCUG